AAAUGACCCAUUUUUUAGGGUGCCCGUUUUCUAUGACGCGCAGUUUAUAUACUUUCUUAUUACUUAACUUCAACUUAAAAUCUACUAAAUAUAACACAUAUACAAAUAUUUUGAUAUUAUCGGUUUUUAUUAAAGAUGGCUCCACGAAUAUCCUCCAUUUUGCAGAAUUGAAUUUUCACACUUCGUUUUCGAGAUACACGCACAAGACUGUGCGUAUAAAAUAUUCGUUAUUCUUAACUGCGCUUUUGUUCCGUACGAAGGUCAACUUUGAACUGAACUGGAAAUUAAGAUACAGGAGAUAUAGCUUUAGGAUUGCCAGAACUGAAUAGGGAAUUUAAUUCCCUUUUAGAAAAUGUAAUAAUAUUCUCGAAACGUUAAAUUUUUUUUGACUUUUGGCCAGCUUUUCGGGUUUUUGGACCACUGUGCGUCAGUACUAAAUAUUUUUUUACGAAAUUAAUAUUUCUCUUAUAGGUCUCCUCUUAUCUAUGUGCUCAGAAUUUACUAUAUAUACCUCUUCCUUUAAUGGGGGAGGUAUUAUUUUAAAUGAAAGUGCAUAACUGCAAGAAUACUCUUAAAAUUUCAGAUUGAUCGGAUUAAAAUUACAAGAGAUACAUAAUGUUGAAUAUUCCUACCUUUGAGUCGCUUUGCGCGCCAGCACGCUUGAGCGUAGUGAGAAAAAUUUGCAGCCCUCUCCUGCUGUCCGCAAGGAGUAUUGUAUCGUCUGCAUAUCUGAGAUUAUUCACUACUUACUUUACUUUACUCCUCUUAAUUCCAUUUGGAACAUAGGGCCUCUACAGUCCACUCCAUUCAUCUCUGUUCCUGGCCAGGGCUUUCACCUCUUUCCAUGUUAACCCAUUGUCUUCUAGCUCUCUGCUAAUAUUUCUUUUCCAGGAUGCCAUUGCUCUGCCUUGUUUUCUUUUUCCAGUUGGUUGGUAAUCCAGGGCUUGUUUGGUUUUAUCAUUUUCAUUUUCCUUAAUGUGUGUCCAAUAAACUUCCAUUUGCGUCUAUUUAUAGUUUUGGCUAUCGGCUCUUGAUUAGUUUUUCUCCAAAGUUCCUUGUUACUUAUCCGACUUGGCCAAUAUAUUUGCAAUAUUCGUCUAAUCUAAGGCAUCUAUUUACAAAUGUUUGAACCUUUUGUAUAAUCUUUUUCUCUAUUUUCCAAGUUUCUGCUGCAUAUAGCAAAAUGCUCUUUACAUUUGUAUUAAAUAUCCUGAUUUUGAUUUUGGUUGUUAAUUUAUUGGACUCGCAUGUUUUCUUCAGCAUAUAGUAUGCAUUUUGGGCUUUAGUUAUCCUUCCAUUAAUUUCCUCUUCUAUUCCACCGCUAGCGUCAAUUAUGCUUCCCAGAUAGCAAAACUUCUGUACAUUUUCUACUUCUUCUCCUUCAAUGAAUAUACCCAUUUCUCUUUCCGUACUUAUCUUCAUAAGUUUUGUUUUUCUUGUGUUAAUCUGUAAUCCUAUUUUUCUUGCUUCUUCUGUCACCUUUUCUGUUUUUUCUGCAUAUGUUGUCUUUUUUCGGACACCAGACAUAUAUCAUCCGCAAAGUCUAGAUCUUCAAGCUGACCGAAAGCAUUCCAUCUAAUUCAUGUUUUAUUUUUCGUUGCCUUCUUUAUGACCCAGUCGAUUAAGAUCAAAAAUAUGGUUGGAGAUAGAAUACACCCCUGUCUGACUCCACUGUCUAUGUUAAUUGGUUCUGUGAGUUUCCCAUUGUGCAUGAUUUGUGCGGUAUAGUUUUCAUAGAACAUUUUGAUAAUUAUUCUUAUGUAUUUUAAUGGAAUUCCAUAUCUCUUUAAUAUUUCCCACAUUUUUUCUCUGUAAUCCGGUCAAAAGCUUGUCUAAAAUCAAUGAAAUUUAUAUAGAUUUUGCUCUGCCAUUCUAUUGUUUGUUCUACAAUGUUUCUUAAUGUGUUAAUAUGAUCUGUGCAUACUUUAUUACUUCUGAAGCCCGCUUGGUUUGGUCUUAACAACUGGUCUAUAGUUUCUUCCAUUCUUUCUAGUAUCAUCCUUGUCAUGACUUUACUCACUGUAGAAAGUAGUGUUAUUGCUCGCCAAUUUUUGCAAUUCGUUUGAUCUCCCUUCUUGGGUAUCUUUACAAUUACAGUACAACCUGCCAUAUCCGGACCUGUCAUAUCCGGACCUCCCCAUAUCCGGACGGUUCUGCGCCGUCCGGAUCUACCGAAAUCUACCGAAAAAGGCAGUCCUGCUGUUGGACAACGCACUAAAAGAAGAACUAAAAGAUGGCGAAAUAAUGUAUUAUAGAAUCUAUAAAACGUGUCUAUCGACGAAAGUUAUUGACGGCGUUGAUUACUGGAAUGUGUGAAGGAGAAACCCUUUCAGAAACUGUAAAAGAAGUAGUGGUCUUGAUAUCCGGAUUUUUUCAUAUCCGGAUCGGUCUGUCGCCACAUUGAUUCGGAUAUGGCAGGUUUUACUGUAUACUUUUUUUCCAAUCAGGUAUUCUCUCCUGCCAGAUUAUUCACUAGUGUUCCGUUAAUUGAUAUUCCUCCAUUAAUAUCUUCUAGUGCCUCUUUAAACAUCUCUUCUAAACAUAUAUUAAAAAGUAGAAGGAAUAGUACACAUCCUUGUCGUAGUCCUCUUCUUUUUGGAAUAUCUUUAGAUAUGCGAAGCAAUAAAGCACUAAAAUCGGCCUUACCUCCGAAAAAAAAAAACGACAAGAUGGAUCUUAAUAAUUCUUUUUGCAUUCGAUUCGUGAAUGCGCCAGGAAACUUUGUGACCCCGAGCCAUGAUAUAAUAUUGAAAAACUGCAUACAAAAAAUGCAUUCUUAAAGUGCAUCUCAAACAGACAAUAAAAAAAAUUCAGAACUCGUCAAUUACCGGCGGAAAUGAGUUCAAUUUUCUUACCCGGGGUUUUUGGGGUCGCUGAAAACGAAUAUGACUUCGAAAGUGAUUUCCGGAGUACCUGGGGCCCAGGGUGCCUACUGUUUGCCUCGUCUUGUGGAGUUUUCGGCAGAUUCAUUAAAAAAUUAGUCAAAAAUCAUUACCCGGGGUUUUUUGGGGUCGCUAACGACGAAUAUGACAUCGAAAGUGAUUUCCGGAGUACCUGGUGCCCAGGUACCUACUGUUUACCUCGUCUUGUGGUUUUUUCGGCAAAUUGCUCGGAGGUUUUUGGGGUCGCUAACGACGAAUAUGACAUCGGAAGUGAUUUCCGGAGUACCUGGUGCCCAGGGUACCUACAGUUUACCUCGUCUUGUGGAGUUUUCGGCAAAAAAAUUAUUAAAACAUUAGUCAAAAAUUAUUACUCUGGAAACUCAGUACUCUGGUUUUUGUGUCGCUGACGAUGAAUAUGAUAUCGAAAGUGAUCUACGGAGUGCCUGGUACCCAGGGUACCUACUGUUUACCUCGUUUUCUGGAAUUUUCGACAAAUUUAUUAAAAAAUUAGGCAAAAUUCAUUACUCGGGGGGUUUUUGUGGUCUCUUUCGACGAGUAUGACAUCGGAAAUGAUCUCCGGAGUACCUGAUGCCCAGGGUAACUACUCUUUACCUCGUCUUCUGGAGUUUUCGGCAAAGUCUUUAAAAUAUUAGUCAAAAAUCAUUAGUCACGAGAUAAACAGUAGGUACCCUGGGCACCAGGUACUCCAGAGAUCACUUCCGAUGUCAUAUUCUUCGUCAGAGACCCCAAAAAACCCCCAAGCAAUGAUUUUUGGCUAAUUUUUUAAUGAAUUUGCCGAAAACUUCAGAAGAAGUAGGUACCCUGAUUCCGGAGAUCACUUCUGAUGUCAUAUUCGUCGUUAGCGAUCACAAAAAUCCUCCGAGUAAUUAUUUUUGCCGAAAAUUCCACAAUACGAGGUAAACAGUAGGUACCCUGGGUACCAGGUACUCCGGAAUGGAAUGCACAGUUAGAUUGUUUUUCUUUUGAAGUGACAGCUCUGGACAAAUCUUGUACUAAGAGAAGUAUGUUGUCUGAAUUGGCCCGAGUGUUUGAUCCUGUAGGGUUUCUAGCUCCGAUGACUUUGUUCACGAAGCACCUUAUCCAACGUUUAUGGUUGUCCGGAAUCGACUGGGAUGACUCUCCUCCAGACUCAAUUUGUAAAGUUUGGAACCAGUAUAAGGAACAACUGUUAUCCCUUGCACAGCUUGAAAUACCUAGGUGUAUGUUCGUGUCCAGGUAUAUUUGUUGUGAGGUACAUGGGUUUUGUGACAGUAGUGAAAAGGGUUAUGCCGCUGUUAUUUAUUUGCGUUUUGUUCUACCAGAUGGUCAGGUUUGUGUCUUUUUUGUUUGCGCGAAGUCAAAAGUGGCUCCCAUAAGAACUGUAAGCAUUCCACGUUUGGAGCUGUCCGCUGCAGUUCUACUAUCUAAACUCAUGCAGUUUGUAGUUAGAGUAUUAGAUUCUAAACUUAAAAUCGCAAAAUUUGUAGCUUGGUCCGAUUCUCAGGUAGCUCUAAGUUGGAUAAAAUCCUCUCCUCAUCGUUGGAAAACUUUUGUUUCUAACCGGGUUUCAUAUAUACAGGAACGCCUUUCUCCUAAUAGUUGGUUUUAUGUUCCUUCUGCUCAGAAUCCCGCUGAUUUGGCUUCCAGAGGUGUUUUACCUGCUCUAAUGUUGGAGCAAUCUCAUUGGUUUGCAGGUCCUGAGUUUUUGUAUAACACCGAUCCCAUUCCAGACGCUUCCUGUUGCUUUUCUGAGUGUGCUGAAAUGCUUGAUGAGGAGCGUACGGUAACUUUGGCUUGUGUUAAUGAUGAUAAUUUUCUUGAGAAUCUAUUGAAUGACAUUUCCGAUUUCUCGUUUAUACGACGACUUAUAGCUUGGAUCUUGAGGUGUGCUUGGAAUUCAAAAUUCCCCAAUGAUAAGAGAGAAGGUCCCUUAAGUUCAAAGGAACUUUAUGAGUCGUUGAUUAUGCUAGUUAAAUAUACUCAACAUCGAUAUUUUGAAAGGGAGUUCGAGGGAAAUGUUUUUUCCAAACCUUUGCGAAAGUUGUCCUGCUUUAUCGAUGAUCAAGGAGUAUUACGGGUUGGCAGUCGUCUUAGAUAUUUGUCUGUUUCGAUUGAUAAGAAAUUUCCUUGCAUCCUACCUCGCGAAAGUCGAUUAACUUAUUUGCUGAUUGAUUAUUACCAUAAACGAUACUGUCAUGCUGGGCUGCGUACAGUUAGUUUUUUGCUUGCCCAGUCAUUUUGGAUUUUGUCUCCUAAGCGUGCUAUACGCUCGGUUUUGUCAAAAUGUAUACAGUGUUGGAGGCCCAAUCCUAGAAAUUACCAACCUCCAAUGGGUAACUUACCCCUAGUUAGAAUUUCCCAGGUUAAACCCUUCCUGAAUUCAGGUAUGGAUUUUGGUGGACCGUUUUAUGUUGUGAUGAAUCGCUAUCGAGGAGCUAAAUCUUGUAAGGUGUAUCUUUGCCUCUUUGUUUGCAUGGCCACCAAAGCUCUUCAUUUAGAGUUAGCUAGUGAUUUAUCGAGUGAGACUUUUCUCUCUGCUUUGCAGCGUUUCAUAGCUCGUCGUGGUAGGGUUGAUAAGUUAUAUUCUGAUCGUGGCAGUAAUUUUGUUGGCGCUGCUAAAUACCUUAACCUCAUGAAAAAUGCUGCUUCAAAUGAAAAUAUUUCCUUCCAUUUUAAUGCUGCAUCUGCUGCCCACUUUGGCGGUUUAUGGGAGGCGGGAAUAAAGUCAGUAAAGACGCACCUAGCUCGCGUUAUAGGCGAUCAGAUCUUGUCAUAUGAGGAACUAAACACGGUCGUAAUUCAGAUUGAAUCGUAUCUUAAUUCUAGGCCCUUGACCCCUAUAAGUUCUGAUCCUAAUGAUUUGUCAGUUCUAACGCCGGGUCAUUUUUUAAAUCUAGAACCUCUUUCGGCUGUGUUUGAACCUCUUGAUGGAGCGUAUAUUCCUGCAUCUCAUUUGAUGAGAUGGAAGUUAAUAAAUCAAAUGCAUAAAACUUUUUGGGAACGCUGGAGCAAAGAAUAUUUGCAUACUUUGCAUCAGCGCAGUAAAUGGACUUCAUCCGAUAAUUUAAAACCUAUCGAACUCGGAGAGAUGGUCCUUAUAAAGGAUGAUAAUAUCCCUCCCUCGCAAUGGCGUUUGGGACGAAUAUCCCAAGUAUUUCCGGGACAGGAUGGAAUUAUAAGAGUUGCAGAUGUUAAGACCACAAAGGGAAUUCUUCGACGCCCCCUGGUGAAGCUGUGUCCUCUGCCUAUUUAAAUAAUUCCUUAGUUUUUUUUGUUGAUCUUAUUAUUAGUAUUAUAUUGUUUAAUUUUUUUUUGGGAUUUAUUCCAAAGUGCCAUGACUUAGGUUAUUUUUUUUUUUAGUUUAUUAGCUUGUAAUAGUUUUAAAAUGCACCAUUUAAAGCUGCAUUUUGGUGGGGGAGAAUGUUGUAUUUUCCUUUAAAUUUGAAUUAACUUAUUUACACGAGGAAGGCAAAUGGUCCCAACUCUAGUUAUUUUGCCUUUUAUCGCGAUAUAAAAGAGGUUUGCUUUAAUGAGUGCAAAAACUGGAGCCUUGUAGUGUUCGUCAAAAGUAAGAGAAGCUAGUGCCUCUACAAUCAUUGGCUCGAAAGUUGCUCUACAAUCAACAGCUCGUAAGUUGCCACUCAACAACGGCUCGCUCGUUUGCCGGUGUAAAAGCCUAGAUGGUAAGGCUUUUUUCGUGUAUGGACUUGGUGCAGUGUUAAAUGCAGCUGAGGGCCCUCUUGAAGACCAAAUGCAGGGAUUGAAUUGAUGGGUCUGGUCUGAAGCAGGUACUCAACUUGAUUUAGAAAAUUCCCUUGAUAUUGGUGGAUUUGGAUAUCCAGCUAUGGCUGUCAUUAACUCAAAGAAAAUGAAAUAUUCUAUUCUCCGUGGAUCAUUUUCCAAGGAUGGUAUUUAUGAAUUUUUAAG